GACGAACGCUGGCGGCGUGCUUAACACAUGCAAGUCGAACGGAAAGGCCCUGCUUUUGUGGGGUGCUCGAGUGGAGAACGGGUGAGUAACACGUGAGUAACCUGCCCUUGACUUUGGGAUAACUUCAGGAAACUGGGGCUAAUAUCGGAUAGGAGAUCCUGCUGCAUGGUGGGGGUUGGAAAGAUUCGGCGGUUGGGGAUGGAAUCGCGGCUUAUCAGUUUGUUGGUGGGGUGGUGGCUUACCAAGGCGUCGACGAGUGGCCAGCCUGAGAGGGUGACAGGCCACAUAGGGACAGGGGUGGCACCCGGACGCCAUCUGGAGGCAUCGGUGGAGGAUAUUGCACGAUGGGCGGAGUCCGGAUGCAGCAACGCCGCGUGGUGGAUGACGGCCUGCGGGUUGUAAACCUCGUGCGCCUGUGACGAAGCGUAAGUGACGGUAAUUGGUAAAGAAGCACCGGCUAACUACGUG
rnacentral:rRNA from 1 species